rnacentral:rRNA from 1 species
UACGGGGGGGGCAAGCGUUGUUCGGAAUUACUGGGCGUAAAGGGUUUGUAGGUGGCUUGCUAAGUCAGACGUGAAAUCCCUCAGCUUAACUGGGGAACUGCGUCUGAGACUGGCAGGCUUGAGUGCAGGAGAGGAACGCGGAAUUCCAGGUGUAGCGGUGAAAUGCGUAGAUAUCUGGAGGAACACCGGUGGCGAAGGCGGCGUUCUGGACAGUUCCUGACACUGAGGCACGAAGGCCAGGGGAGCAAACGGG